rnacentral:rRNA from 1 species
AUUAAACGCUGGCGGCAUGCCUUACACAUGCAAGUCGAACGGCAGCACGGGGGCAACCCUGGUGGCGAGUGGCGGACGGGUGAGUAAAGCAUCGGAACGUAUCCUGGAGUGGGGGGAUAACGUAGCGAAAGUUACGCUAAUACCGCAUAUUCUGUGAGCAGGAAAGCAGGGGGAUCGCAAGACCUUGCGCUCUGGGAGCGGCCGAUGUCGGAUUAGCUAGUUGGUGGGGUAAAGGCCUACCAAGGCGACGAUCCGUAGCGGGUCUGAGAGGAUGAUCCGCCACACUGGGACUGAGACACGGCCCAGACUCCUACGGGAGGCAGCAGUGGGGAAUUUUGGACAAUGGGCGGAAGCCUGAUCCAGCCAUGCCGCGUGAGUGAA